UACGGGGGGGGCAAGCGUUGUUCGGAAUUACUGGGCAUAAAGGGCUCGUAGGUGGCCAACUAAGUCAGACGUGAAAUCCCUCAGCUUAACUGGGGAACUGCGUCUGAUACUGGAUGGCUUGAGUUUGGGAGAGGGAUGCGGAAUUCCAGGUGUAGCGGUGAAAUGCGUAGAUAUCUGGAGGAACACCGGCGGCGAAGGCGGCAUCCUGGACCAACACUGACACUGAGGAGCGAAAGCCAGGGGAGCAAACGGG
rnacentral:rRNA from 1 species